rnacentral:rRNA from 1 species
CCUACGGGAGGCAGCAGUGAGGAAUAUUGGUCAAUGGGCGCAAGCCUGAACCAGCCAAGUCGCGUGAAGGAUGACGGCCCUACGGUUUGUAAACUUCUUUUAUAGGGGGAUAAAGGUAGGCACGUGUGCCUUUUUGUAUGUACUUUAUGAAUAAGCAUCGGCUAACUCCGUGCCAGCAGCCGCGGUAAUACGGAGGAUCCGAGCGUUAUCCGGAUUUAUUGGGUUUAAAGGGAGCGUAGGUUGGUUGUUAAGUCAGUUGUGAAAGUUUGCGGCUCAACCGUAAAAUUGCAAUUGAUACUGGCAGGCUUGAGUAUAGUUGAGGUAGGCGGAAUUCGUGGUGUAGCGGUGAAAUGCAUAGAUAUCACGAAGAACUCCGAUUGCGAAGGCAGCUUACUAAACUACAACUGACACUGAUGCACGAAAGCGUGGGGAUCAAACAGGAUUAGAUACCCUUGUAGUA